rnacentral:rRNA from 1 species
AUGGCAUCCAACCAGGACCAGGCGAGCUUCCGCGCCGGCGAGGCCAAGGGCCACACCCAGGAGAAGGCUGGACAGGUGAUGGGCGCGGCCAAGGACAAGGCGUACGAGGCCAAGGACCGUGCGGCGGGCCUGGCGGGGCACGCGUCCGGGCAGGGGCAAGGCGCCACGGAGGCCACCAAGCACAAGGCCGGCGAGGCCACGGACAGGGCGUCCCAGACGGCGCAGGCGGCCAAGGACAGGGCUGCCGGGACGGCGCAGGCCGCCAAGGACAAGACCAACGAGACCGCCCAGGCGGCCAAGGACAAGGCGGCCGGGACGACGCAGGCGGCCAAGGACCGCACCGUCGAGGGCAAGGACCAGACCGGCAGCUUCCUCGGCGAGAAGACGGAGAUGGCCAAGCAGAAGGCGGCCGAGACGGCGCAGUACACGCAGGACAGGACCUACGACGCGGCGCAGUACGCCAAGGAGUCCGCCGUCGCCGGCAAGGACAAGACCGGCAGCGUGCUCCAACAGGCCGGCGAGACGGUGGUGAACGCCGUGGUGGGCGCCAAGGACGCCGUGGCCAACACGCUGGGGAUGGGCGGAGACAACAAUACCAACACCGCCAAGGACACCACCACCAAGAAGAUCACCAGGGAUCACUAG